AUACCUGUACAAUAUAAAGUCCUCAGUUCUACAAACAUUAUAAUUCUAGCAACUAUCGGAACAAUCUUCUCCCUGCUACUGCUUGCAUUGGUUGCAUUGGCUACCUAUUUUUGUUGGAGAAAAAAAUGCCAGAAAUUAACAAGCAAUGAG